CGGAUUCUUGUGUCUGAUGAGACACCCGCUC
rnacentral:piRNA from 1 species